UCAGUAUCACCAGCAGUAUCAACAGCAAUGUCACCGACAUUAUCCACAUCUCUGGUUUCUUCAACCCAGUCAACUACUGAGUCUGCAGAGAAUCGUGGUGACCGUCAGGUCGUCAUUACUGUGAUCGUCUGUGUAGCUGUGCUGCUGCUGUUUGUGCUGAUUUUGAUCUACAAACGAUUUUCACAUUUAAAGAACACAAGAAAUGGAGCAGCAGCACAGCACAAACAAGUCAGUGUAUAAAUGAGACUGUCCUCCAUAGAAAAACGACCAUAUAGGUUGUUUAAUCCACACAAAAGUACAACUCAUGUUUACGUUCAUUGUGGCAGCGACCUCUAGUGGCCG